GUGCUCGCUUCAGCAGUACGUAUAUUAAAAUUAGAAUGAUACAGGGAAGAUUAGCAUGGCCACUGCGCAAGGAUGACACACAGAUUCGUGGAGCAUUCCAUAUUUUA
rnacentral:snRNA from 1 species